GACAGAGGGUGCAAACGUUGCUCGGAAUCACUGGGCGUAAAGGGCGUGUAGGCGGGAAGUAAAGUCAGAUGUGAAAUCCCUGGGCUCAACCCAGGAACUGCAUUUGAAACUCACUUUUCUUGAGUACCGGAGAGGAAGGUGGAAUACCUGGUGUAGAGGUGAAAUUCGUAGAUAUCAGGUGGAACACCAGUGGCGAAGGCGGCCUUCUGGACGGUAACUGACGCUGAGACGCGAAAGCGUGGGGAGCAAACAGG
rnacentral:rRNA from 1 species